CUGAGAGAACUCAGGAGAAGGAACUCGGCAAAUUGACACCGUAACUUCGGAAGAAGGUGUGCCCUAUUAGUGUGAAGUGAACAACGGAGCAUGAAUGGGUUGCAAAAAAUCGGUGGCUGCGACUGUUUAUUAAAAACACAGCACUCUGCAAACACGAAAGUGGACGUAUAGGGUGUGACGCCUGCCCGGUGCUGGAAGAUUAAAUGAUGGGGUGCAAGCUCUUGAUUGAAGUCCCAGUAAACGGCGGCCGUAACAAUAACGGUCCUAAGGUAGCGAAAUUCCUUGUCGGGUAAGUUCCGACCUGCACGAAUGGCGUAACGAUGGCCACACUGUCUCCUCCUGAGACUCAGCGAAGUUGAAAUGUUUGUGAUGAUGCAAUCUCCCCGCGGAAAGACGGAAAGACCCCAUGAACCUUUACUGUAGCUUUGUAUUGGACUUUGAACAGAUCUGUGUAGGAUAGGUGGGAGGCUUUGAAGCAGGGUCGCUAGAUCUUGUGGAGCCAACGUUGAAAUACCACCCUGGUGUGUUUGAGGUUCUAACCUAGGUCCAUUAUCUGGAUCGGGGACAGUGCAUGGAAGGCAGUUUGACUGGGGCGGUCUCCUCCCAAAGCGUAACGGAGGAGUUCGAAGGUACGCUAGUUACGGUCGGACAUCGUGACGAUAGUGCAAUGGCAUAAGCGUGCUUAACUGCGAGACUGACAAGUCGAGCAGAUGCGAAAGCAGGACAUAGUGAUCCGGUGGUUCUGUAUGGAAGGGCCAUCGCUCAACGGAUAAAAGGUACUCUGGGGAUAACAGGCUGAUACCGCCCAAGAGUUCAUAUCGACGGCGGUGUUUGGCACCUCGAUGUCGGCUCAUCUCAUCCUGGGGCUGUAGCCGGUCCCAAGGGUAUGGCUGUUCGCCAUUUAAAGAGGUACGUGAGCUGGGUUUAAAACGUCGUGAGACAGUUUGGUCCCUAUCUUCCGUGGGCGCUGCAGAUUUGAGGAAGCCUGCUCCUAGUACGAGAGGACCGGAGUGGACACACCUCUGGUGUAUCGGUUGUCACGCCAGUGGCAUUGCCGAGUAGCUAAGUGUGGAAGAGAUAACCGCUGAAAGCAUCUAAGCGGGAAACUCGUUUCAAGAUGAGAUCUGCCGGGGCCUUGAGCCCCCUGAAGAGUCGUUCAAGACCAGGACGUUGAUAGGUCAGGUGUGGAAGCGCAGUAAUGCGUUAAGCUAACUGAUACUAAUUGCUCGUGCGGCUUGACCCU
rnacentral:rRNA from 1 species